CUUACUAUGGCGAGGGGGGGGAGGUAAAGAAUGAGAGUGAGCCUGCCUGAGGGAGAAAAGACCUACGGGGAACGGUACCUAAUAAUAUCUGAGGAGGAGAACGGAGGAGAUGUACGCUUCUUGCGCUUGCAGAUGAAUAUGGGCCAAUGGGACUAUGGGGGGGGAGAAGGUUACGCUCACGAGGAGAUGGAGCUCUGGUGGGAGUGAGAGGAUCCACACUGUCACUGAGACACAGACCCGAUACCCACUCCUGGGGGAGGUGGGGAAGUGUGUAAUUUGUGCGAAAGCCUGAUCCUGAAGUGCCGCUUGCACGAGGAUGGCCUACGGGUUGUAAACUGCUUUUUUUUUCAACGAAGAGGAAUCUCCUAAUGUUAAAAGCCCUUGACUUUUUUUUUACACUCAGCAGAGGCUAACUCGGACUCCGUGGCCGCGCCACACUUAUGCUGAGAGCGUUAAUCGGAAUUUCAGGGCUCGGGGGUGCGCGUCGGGGUGUGUUACAAAUUAUGAAUUCAAAUCCUCCUCCUCGGAACUGCAUUUGUGUAUGCAUGUGUCUGUACGAUUGUAUGUGGAUGGAGGUACACCCUGUGGAGUGGCGUGCUAAUAAUACAGAGCAGGACCAAUAGCGAAGGCGAUCACCUGCCCCUGUACUAACACUCAUGCUCUGGAGCGCGGGGGGGAGAAAACAAUCAUAAAAUCCUAUGCUCGUCGCCCCCGCAGAUGACGACUGCUACUUGGUGGUUACCUUUUUAUUUUACGACGUCAGCACAUGAAGUAGAUCGACCGGCCGCGUGCGGACGGCAGGCUUGAAGUUAAAACAAUUAAUUGGUUACCGGCCCCCCCCGUGGUGGAGCGGGUUGUUUCUUUGUACCCACCACACCAACCCCACCUGUGCUUCGCUGAAAUUACAUUAUAUAGAAGAUUGGUUGCAUAGACACUGACUACAAGAGCGCGCUGCGGUGGUCUCAUCUCGUCUGGUAGAGUUAGGUUAAGUUCACCCACCAGGACCAACCCCAUUCCUUAUUUUUUUUUACUUUCCAGUUGUAUCGGCUCGCGAAAGCCUUCUGGGGAAAAGUUGCGGAGACCUGAA
rnacentral:rRNA from 1 species